UGACAGGAUUGCUAUACCAGCGUCAUUUGGUGGAAGUUUUGGUGUCUUUAAAAACUCAGUUGUGUUAGGUACAAAGAGAGUCAGGCAUUGGACCUGAGUCACCCGAUGGAGUGCCUUGCAGUAAGAUCUUACGGCUAGAAGGAGUGCUCUGCCUGCAGGCCAGAAGAGGGCACCAGAUCUCACUACAGAUGGUUAUGAGCCACCAUGUGGUUGCUGGGGAUUGAACUCAGGACCUCUGGAAGAGCAACCAGUGCUGAGCCAUUUCUCAAGCCUCUAUCCUCUUUAAAAUCUCCAAAGUCCUCCCCCGUACUAAAACUUCUCCAUCAGGAAACACCGCUUGUUUUUGUCUAACUCUAAAAGAAUAAAAGAGGAUUUGAUUGACUUA